rnacentral:rRNA from 1 species
AUACGGAUGGUGCGAGCGUUGUUCGGAAUUACUGGGCGUAAAGGGCGCGUAGGCGGCGAUGUAAGUCAAAUGGGAAAGUCCUCGGCUUAACCGGGGAAGUGCAUCUGAAACUGCAUUGCUCGAGUAUGGGAGAGGAAAGUGGAAUUCCCGGUGUAGAGGUGAAAUUCGUAGAGAUCGGGAGGAAUACCGGUGGCGAAGGCGACUUUCUGGACCAAUACUGACGCUGAGGCGCGAAAGCGUGGGGAGCAAACAGGAUUAGAAACCCUAGUAGUCC